GCUUUAAAAAAAAAAAAAAAAGACAGACCGAGCCCGGUGUGGCGGUGCUCAGGAAUUCUGAGCUGCAGUGCGCUGUGCUGACCAGGUGUCUGCACUAAGUGUGGCAUCAGUAUGGGGACCUCCUGGAGCAUGGGACCAGCAUGUUGCCUAAGAGGGAUGAACCAACCCACUCAGAAAUGGUGCAGGUCAAAACUCCUGUGCUGAUCAGUAGUGGAAUUGCGCCUGGGAAUAGUCAUUGCUUUCCAGCCGGGGCUACAUAGUGAGACUCUGUCUCU
rnacentral:SRP_RNA from 1 species